rnacentral:rRNA from 1 species
UGGGGAAUAUUGCACAAUGGGCGCAAGCCUGAUGCAGCCAUGCCGCGUGUAUGAAGAAGGCCUUCGGGUUGUAAAGUACUUUCAGUCGGGAGGAAGGUGGUAAGGUUAAUAACCUUAUCAAUUGACGUUACCGACAGAAGAAGCACCGGCUAACUCCGUGCCAGCAGCCGCGGUAAUACGGAGGGUGCAAGCGUUAAUCGGAAUUACUGGGCGUAAAGCGCACGCAGGCGGUUUGUUAAGUCAGAUGUGAAAUCCCCGGGCUCAACCUGGGAACUGCAUCUGAUACUGGCAAGCUUGAGUCUCGUAGAGGGGGGUAGAAUUCCAGGUGUAGCGGUGAAAUGCGUAGAGAUCUGGAGGAAUACCGGUGGCGAAGGCGGCCCCCUGGACGAAGACUGAGGCUCAGGUGCGAAAGCGUGGGGAGCAAACAGG